GCUUUCGUGAGCUACAUGCAUCCGAUGAAGUGAGCUGUCGCUCACGAAAGCUUAUGCUCAAAUAAAUUGGUUAGUUUCUAAGGUGCCACAAGUACUCCUUUUCUUAUAACCUGGCUGUACACUCUUGAAGUUCAUGAAAGUGCACAUAAGACAGUAAAGUUUUCACUUGUGAUUAUCUUGUGCAGAGUGCAAAUCAGCACUCUGCGUGGGACUGCCAUGCAACUUCAGUUAUUUCAUUUAAAUGUUUGUUUUCAGCAGGAAUGAGCUACUGUCUUAAGCAUUUCAACAAAGACAUUAUUGGAUUCUCAGUAAAUUGAUAAGCAUGGUGAUGGUUGAUGUUCUUGGACUGCCUGCAGUCUUUAAAAGACUGAUUGUUAAUUAUUUCUGUAUGAUAGUAUAUUUAAAUCAAGUUAUAAAUUGAGAGUAAGCUAAACAAUUUAAAUGAAUUUUGGCUUUACUUGUUUUCACGGCAGUCUUGUCUACGAAAAAAAUAGAAAUGUGUUUAACUGGUGCUGAACAGCCUAGAUGUUAACUGUUGCUAUAGGUAGGAAAGAUUUAUUGCUAAUUUUCUAGGAUCUCUCCUACUUUGAAAAUAUAUUUUUACUGACUGUGAACAGACUGCAGUUAGAGAAAUGCACUAUAUAUGGUUAGGAUUCAAUGAAAAUUUGCUAAAAAUGAAAGUAUGGUCAGAAGCUGUGUUGCUAUUGUUUUACAAAUAAAUGAUUAACAAAUUAUCUCUGUGUGGCUUGACAAAUGUUUAACCAUAGACAACCAAUGUUAGCAAUUGUUAGCAUUAUUAGUAAGGAAUUUGAACCUUAAUAUGAAAACCUCAGUUAACCUGAUAAAUCUUAAUUUGUAGGAAAAGGAACAGUGUUUCACCAUGAGGUGAGACAAUGGUUAGAUGCAUCAUUUCAUGGGUUUAGGAUUAAAAGACACUAAGAAGCUUUCGGACUGCAUACUGCAUCAAAUUUACACUGCUGCGUCAGUGAGCACUAAAAGCCAAAAAGUCUUAGUAGAUUUAGCAGAUUUAAGCUUGGAUGCAUUUCACUGAUUACUUCCUGCUAAUGAAAUUUUAAUUUAAUCAUUUAAACCUUUAAUAUGUUUUUCUCAUUUGUUAAAAAGUUUGUAUCUCUCAAGAAAGCGAUAGAGAAGCAUGAACACGUAGUGUACGCUUACGAAAAUUAUUCAUAGAAAUACAGAUAAUUUGCUAAGGACUGUGUUUAUUCGUACACACUAUUGAAGUCAGUGGGAGUUCUGUUAGAGUAAGGGCUCCAGGAUUUAGACUUAUAUUCACAUAAUAAAUUCCAAUCAGUCUGUCACUCCUCAAUUUAAUCCCCAUGGAAUUACCAGAGUUUUAAUAUUAAGAUAUUAUGGAGACAAGUAAAUCAGCUUGCUGAUUUAGUCGACCUUGUUUGUCAGAUAUGUAACUGUACUUUCAAGUUGUUUGUGAGCCUGAAUAGUAUAGAGAACAAUGAUUUUUGUUUCCGAGAUUAGUAAAAUAGAUGGGUGCUGUCCAUAGUCUUCCUCUCAGCCACACCCACUGAUUCUGGCAGUGGAGCUUCCAUUUGUCUUCCUGCUUUAGGAGACAAAAUCAAACGUCUUGGCUAUUAACACAGGUUUAAUUAUUUUUUUUUUAUUCUAUUCGAGUUCUUGUGCCACACCCAUCCCUGUGAUACUUGAGUUCCUCCCACUGAAGAGCCUGCUAGUUUUCUCUGCCUCCAGAGCUGCAAUGGAGGUGCACUCACUUCUACAGAGCGUGACACCUAAACUCAGUGUUUGUGGGGGCUGUUAUGCCUCCAUUAGGUAAAUUCACAUUUCAAUAGGAUAAUAAAACACUUUUUUUUUUUCUUUCACAUUGAUACAAAAUUGCAGCAGAUUCUUUCUCAUUAAGGACUUGUAAUGUGCUGCUGCAACUUUCCAGGGGCGCACGGCAUUGUGUCCAAAGGGUACGAUUAGCUCAGGAGCAGAAAGCGUCUUUUUUGGUUCUCCAUACUCUUCGAGUGCAUUGAUGGGGAGUUGUGUUUGUCUGGCUCCCAAAGGAAGGCUCAGCUUCAGGAGAUGGAUUCCCUGCUACAAAGGUGCUGAAUCAGGUCCAUCUCCUCCUCAGUCAGCCACAAACUCUAGAACAGUAAACUGAUAACAAGAGUAAGUGCCCACCCAAUUUCCACCUUAAUAUGAAGCAGGACCCAGUACAUUGUGCCAUUUCUGACCAAGACCAAUUCAGCCCAGACUGAGAUACCUGAAUUAUUCAGGAUGGCUAUAGGGUUCACCCCAGCUGCUGCAACUAAGCAUGACCCUGACUGUGGCCGCCUCCUCCCUCUUCUUGGGAGCAGAGGGACUUGGUUGUUGGAUGCCCCUUCAGACCCCCGAACCAGUGGAGACACUUCAGAGUUAUGCUGGUCCACACUGAAGAAGGCUCUGCCGAAGUAUGAGGUAUUAGCAUAAGUAAUUCAAAUGAACCCAGUUUUGUCAAAAUAAGAGUUUGGUGCCUUUUGUGAUUCAGUAUCCUUGAUUUUUUUUUCUUUUAAAACAAUUUAGUCAUAUUUUUUCCUAGUAGUUCACAAGAUUUGGUAACCUGCAGUGUGACCUCCCAGUCUUUGGCUCAACUUCAGACAGGGGUGCUACUGUACAUCUUUACCAUUUUUUCGGAUAAGCCUGCAAAAUGAUAUAUAACUCAACCAACGGAUUCAGGAUGGAGCCAAACUUUUUUCUUCUAGGCAAUCUUCAUUUACAUUUCUGCCAGAUGUUUGAGAAUUGGCCGGAAAAGCCAUAAGGCUAAAAUUUGCUGCAGAAAAAUUUAUGCAGCUCAAGUUUUACCAUCCUAACUUCUUAUACAUGAAGAUUAGGUCAGUCUUCAGAAUGAUUGAGAGAAAAUAUAAACAAACAAAAUCCCCAGUUGGAACACUAGAAGCUGCUGAAGGGACUAGAUGGAUGUUGCCUUAAUAUGCCAGUUUAAACCUUAUCAUUCAAUAUGUUUUAAUAAAAUGUUGUGCAGACAAUCGUAUCCUGCUCUCUGUU